rnacentral:rRNA from 1 species
CUACGGGCGGCUCCAGUGGGGAAUAUUGGACAAUGGGCGCAAGCCUGAUCCAGCAAUGCCGCGUGAGUGAAGACGGCCUUAGGGUUGUAAAACUCUUUCGCUAGGGAAGAUAAUGACUGUACCUAGUAAAGAAGUCCCGGCUAACUCCGUGCCAGCAGCCGCGGUAAUACGGAGGGGACUAGCGUUGUUCGGAAUUACUGGGCGUAAAGAGUUCGUAGGCGGACUGACAAGUUAGAGGUGAAAUCCCAGGGCUCAACCCUGGAACUGCCUUUAAAACUGUCAGUCUAGAGACCGGAAGAGGUUAGGGGAAUACCUAGUGUAGAGGUGAAAUUCGUAGAUAUUAGGUGGAACACCAGUGGCGAAGGCGCCUAACUGGUCCGGUACUGACGCUGAGGAACGAAAGCGUGGGGAGCAAACAGGAUUAGAUACCCCCGUAGUC